rnacentral:rRNA from 1 species
UACGAAGGGGACUAGCGUUGUUCGGAAUCACUGGGCGUAAAGCGCACGUAGGCGGAUUCGUAAGUCAGGGGUGAAAUCCCGGGGCUCAACCUCGGAACUGCCUUUGAUACUGCGGGUCUUGAGUCCGAUAGAGGUGGGUGGAAUUCCUAGUGUAGAGGUGAAAUUCGUAGAUAUUAGGAAGAACACCGGUGGCGAAGGCGGCCCACUGGAUCGGUACUGACGCUGAGGUGCGAAAGCGUGGUGAGCAAACAGG